rnacentral:misc_RNA from 1 species
GAUGAAGAACGUAGCGAAAUGCGAUAAGUAGUGUGAAUUGCAGAAUUCAGUGAAUCAUCGAAUCUUUGAACGCACAUUGCGCCCCUUGGUAUCCCGAGGGGCAUGCCUGUUCGAGCGUCAUUUCACCACUCAAGCCUGGCUUGGUGUUGGGCGACGUCCUCUUUGGGGACGCGCCUCGAAACGCACGGCGGCGUGGCACCGGCUUUAAGCGUAGCAGAAUCUUUCGCUUUGGAAGUCGGGGCCCCGUCUGCCGGAAGACCUGCUCGCAAGGUUGACCUCGGAUCAGGCAGGGAUACCCGCUGAACUUAAGCAUAUCAAUAAGCGGAGGA